rnacentral:sRNA from 1 species
CUGCCAAACACAAUAGUUCUACUAAACAAGAUUAACAUUUUAAACGUGCAUUGGAACAUGUGUUAAACAUGUGUUAGGCUUAAACCAAACUAUAUUUAAUUCGAUCAGAACACUUGGAUUUUGCGUAUUAACAUUUACUAUAAAAAACUUAAACGUAAUUUCCUCCUUGUUCACUUUAUUUCCUUCUAUUUAACACGUCGGGUUUGUAUGGUUCCAGAGGAAAGAAAAGAAAAUCGAGAGAGAGAAGAAGAAAGAGAAGCUCCAGGAGAAAAGAAAGUCCCGAGAGAGAAGAAGAAAAGAAGCUCUAGUGAAAAUCAGAGAAAAAGAAAAGGAAGAAAGUGUGUGGAGAAUGAAGAUGACUGAAGCAGAAGGAGAAACUGAUGGAAGAAAGAGCACAGAAAAAACAAGUGUAACAACAGAGACAGAACUAAGACGCAUAGACACAAAAUGGGGUGGAAUUACUCUUAGCUUAGUAAUGGUUUUUUUGAAGAUGACCGUUCCAGACAACAUUAUGUCUACUUGAAAAAAUUUCUAUAACAAGUUUAAUGACC